UGCCAGCAGCCGCGGUAAUACGGAGGAUGCAAGCGUUAUCCGGAUUUAUUGGGUUUAAAGGGUGCGUAGGCGGAUUAAUAAGUCAGUGGUGAAAUCCCUCAGCUCAACUGAGGAACUGCCAUUGAUACUGUUAGUCUUGAGUAUAGUUGAAGUGGGCGGAAUAUGUCAUGUAGCGGUGAAAUGCUUAGAUAUGACAUAGAACACCGAUCGCGAAGGCAGCUCACUAAACUAUUACUGACGCUAAUGCACGAAAGCGUGGGUAGCGAACAGGAUUAGAUA
rnacentral:rRNA from 1 species